rnacentral:lncRNA from 1 species
GCUUUAAAUGCACAAACUGAAAUUAUUAGAAUUGAGAAGUUUGUCAGUUGGUGGCACAGAUUAAGCAGCAAUAUGCAAAUAAUUUUGGCUUGCUUUUGCUAUAUAUCGAUGAUGACAAUGUUAUUUAUUAGCACUGUUGAGCCAUGCAUGCAUGAGAAGUAAGUAGUAGCUUAUUACUCAGUGGGGUUUUAUAACCUAGUUUUCAACAUAUUCAAAUUUUGAAAACAGUACAGUCCCUACUCCUAUGAAAACUCUUGUCAUCUCUCUUUAUUAAUAUAGUGCCACACCAGCAUAUUUAAUGUCCAUAAAACUCUAUUGAGACUGGCCUUAGUGUAGAUAUCAUCAGACGGAAAUAUGAUGCUGCGUGAUAAAAAGUAAAAAAAAAAUCUCAAAAACCUUGGAGCGAGUAAUUUAGCACGCGCGCGCGUUGAAGGUAGAACGGUGGAAGAAGGUGCUGCUUUCAUUUUCACAAGCGGUACGAUACAUACAGUACGUAGUAGUGCUUUCUAUGUACAAGGGCUAGCUGCAUGUAUAUACAUACACCAUACAUGCAUGUUCAAUAAUUCGUCUUCAACUUUGUUGAAAAAUAAGAAUUCAGACAAAAACCGGUGGGCAAUCACCAUCUGAAAGCAAUGCAAGUCUCUCGCUUAUAUGCUUGGUAGCACGCAUGCAUUUCUUUCAGGGACAGUUUUUGAAGUUUGAUUCGUUCAACCCGGCCGGCC